rnacentral:pre_miRNA from 1 species
AGUCUUCGGUAUCCGUGCUGAGAUUUCGUCAAACACCAUACCACGAGGGCUGAUGAGACUUCCAGGAUAAGUGAAUCG